rnacentral:rRNA from 1 species
CGUAGGGUGCGAGCGUUAAUCGGAAUUACUGGGCGUAAAGCGUGCGCAGGCGGUUUUGUAAGACAGGCGUGAAAUCCCCGGGCUCGACCUGGGAACUGCGCUUGUGACUGCAAGGCUAGAGUACGGCAGAGGGGGGUGGAAUUCCACGUGUAGCAGUGAAAUGCGUAGAGAUGUGGAGGAACACCAAUGGCGAAGGCAGCCCCCUGGGUCGAUACUGACGCUCAUGCACGAAAGCGUGGGUAGCAAACAGGAUUAGAUACCCUGGUAGUCCACGCCCUAAACGAUGUCAACUAGGUGUUGGGUGGGUAAAACCAUUUAGUACCGGAGCUAACGCGUGAAGUUGACCGCCUGGGGAGUACGGCCGCAAGGUUA